ensembl:snoRNA
CUGCUCAGUGAAUACCCAAGUGUGCCUUGGAGUCCCCUUGGCUUUAACUCUGUGCUAAGACAAUGACUUUCUGUACCUCUGCAUUUAAAGGAUUAUUCUUUUUAGUGUAUUCAGAAAGUCAGCACACUA